ACCCUUCCCGCGGGGCUGGAUCUUCCAGAUGGUGCGGGCCGGGACAAGCCGGAGAGUGUCCCGGUUUCAGAAACAACCUUCGGCAGCC
rnacentral:sRNA from 12 species